rnacentral:lncRNA from 10 species
CUGCAAUCAAUUCAUUUAUUUAGCAAAAAAGAAAUUAUGUGUGCCGAGAGCAUGCAGAAGAUAUGUCUCCGUUCUCUGCUUCCCUCCAAAAAAGAAUCCCAAAACUGCUUUCUGUGAACGUGUGCCAGGGUCCCAGCAGGACUCAGGGAGAGCAGGAAGCCCAGCCCAGACCCCUUGCACAACCUACCGUGGGGAGGCCUUAGGCUCUGGCUACUACAGAGCUGGUUCCAGUCUGCACUGCCACAGCCUGGCCAGGGACUUG